CUCAAUGAUAUUUCAAUAGCCGCAAUAUUUGUGCUAAGGUAGCAUAAUCAUUUGUUUUUUAAUUAAAAACUAGAACGAAAGAUUAAACAUUUAAAUUUCUUUCUUAAAUAUAUAAUAUUUAAAAUUAUCCUAAAUAUAAAAAGAUAUUUAUAAUAAAAAAAGACGACAAGACCCUAUUGAAUUUAACUUUAGUUUAACUGGGGUAGUUAAUUAAAUAUAAUUUUAGUUUUUUUUUCAUAAAAAAUCUAAUACAAUUAAAUUUCACAAAUUACCAUAGGGAUAACAGCGUAAUCAUUUUCGCAAGAUCUUAUUUAAAAAAUAGUUUACGACCUCGAUGUUGAAUUAAUAACCUAUUAAACGAAACAAUUUAAUAUGAAAGUC
rnacentral:rRNA from 1 species